rnacentral:tRNA from 1 species
GCCGAGGUGGUGAAAUUUGGUAUACACGCUAUCUUGAGGAGAUAGUACCUUUUGGUAUACGGGUUCAAAUCCCGUCCUCGGUA